AUUGAACGCUGGCGGCAGGCCUAACACAUGCAAGUCGAGCGGAGCGGCGGACGGGUGAGUAAUGCCUAGGAAUCUGCCUGGUAGUGGGGGAUAACGUCCGGAAACGGGCGCUAAUACCGCAUACUAUCAGAUGAGCCUAGGUCGGAUGAGCGAGUUGGUGGGGUAAAGGCCUACCAAGGCGACGAUCCGUAACUGGUAUGAGAGGAUGAUCAGUCAAACUGUAAUUGAGACACGGUCCAGAUUCGUAAGGGAGGCUGCAGUGGGGAAGAGUGGACAAUGGGCGAAAGCCUGAUCCAGCCAUGCCGCGUGGGUGAAGAAGGUCUUCGGAUUUUAAAGCACUUGAAGUGGGGAGGCGUUGCCAACAGAAUAAGCACAGGCUAACUUCGUGCCAGCAGCCGCGGUAAUAC
rnacentral:rRNA from 1 species